CGCUAGAUUUCCCAAGGCUGUUGCCAAGAGCAAGGGGAAGGUGAAUAAGUUGAUGGCAACUGUUGUUAGACGUUUGGGUGGGGUGGUUGUCAGGCGUAGGGAUUUGGAAGCCCUAAUUCAAGGUUAUUUUAGGCAGGAUGGUGUAAAUGUUUCGGAACUCAGUAUGGAUUUUUUAUUGCUAGGGUUUCAGAUAAGGUUACAACGGGUGUUGUUUUUGGUGGGAGCGCUCAGAUAGUUCGAGGAGUUGAGCUCUGAGCUGUGGC